AAAAUUGAUUAAGUACAUAUAGAUGUGGUAACAGAAUAAACAAUAAACACAUAAGGUUAAAACAGCAGACCUCAAUAUCAAAAUCCUCAUUCUGUUCAUCAGACAGCGUGUGUGAAUGAGAUGGAUUCUAUGAGGAAAAUAAAAGUUUUGUUAUGCGUUAAAACUUGAAAAAUGUAUAAGUAGAUGAUAAGGUUCUAAUAUUAUAAACUGUUUGAAAUCUUGAUUACCUCAGAGGAUUGAGAUUGAGUAGGUACCUCCAAUGACUUUUGGCGCUUUGAUCUAGAAGAUAAUGGAACAAAACCGAAAGCCAAAUUUCUGGACCGCUUGAAGGUGACAGUUUUUCUUUUCUUUUCAAGCUUCAUUACACGAUUUGAUAGCUCUUCCACCUUGUUUUGUAGAUCAACGAUCAACCUAGACUUCUCAUCAUCAGAUAGCCUUACAACUUGAUUAAAACGAGUUGAAUAACUAUGCUUGGAUUUGGGAGGGUCAGACUUCACCCGUAGUCUCUUCUUACGAUCCACAAUAUGCUUUUUGUGAACAACAGAAGACUUCUCCUUUGGACUUUUAAUUGAUGGCAAUGUAGCAUCACCUCCUGGCCAAUCACUUUUUUUGAAUUGAUGAGCUGUCAGUAUCAAACCAUUCAUGUAAGAAACUUUCCUGUCUUUCACCUCGUCAUCCCACUCUGCCCAACUUUGGUCAACAUUAAUAUCUUCACCUAUAAGCGGAUCCACAGGUCUCUGUUGAAAAAUAGAAUGUUAUUAUUAGUAAAGAAGACUGAAUAUAUAGAUAGAGAAUAUUAUAGAGACCAUAUAAAAACUUUUGGGUUAGAAAAAAACCUUAAGGUUGCUUUCUAAAGAGUGAAUCUGAGGAAGAGUAAUUAGUUGUGUUGGAUGAGUUAAAUUCUUCCAAUGAAGGAUUGUCAAGGAGGUGUCAUCAAACUUCAGCAAAUCCACCAUUCCAGGUAUGUUUCGAAAAGCUAAGAGCUGCAGGGCAUGCGGAAAACCUUUAAGACGGAAUGUGAUCUGCUGGAGUUGCUUCACCAAAUUCUGAAUAGGAUCGUUUGUGAGCUGUCUUUUACCGGUGCUCUUAGCGAGAAUCCGUUUCUCGGGUGUCAUCGCUUCAACCGUCUUCAUAAACGACUCUCUACCCCAAGGAAACAAAAGGAAUUUCUCUAAAUCUGCCAACAUCUCUACAUAUUUAAAUGUAAGCCUACCGGUUUGGUUAGAUGCUAUGAGGACACCAUCUACAAUGAGUAGGAAAGUGAGCUUCAGUUUGUGGUCAGAAGACAGUUUACUGCGCUUCUUGGUUAGCAUGGCAGAUAUAUCCCCUAAUGUAACCGUCUUGUCUGGACCAAUUAACUCAUUCCAGUAGCUCUUCUUGCCAUCAUCAUAAACAGGAGAAUCUUCAGGGUCAUACUCGUCAGGAAACUCCCCACAAGGUAAGCCAGUCACGGAAGCAAAUUCUAGUAGUGAAAAUCUCAUUGGGUGUCCACCAAAAACUGUCCAAAACUCAUACUUUUUCUUAGUAAGCAACUGUCUACAUAACAAGGCAUGAAUGACCUUACCCGAAGUCGCAACCCUACUAACUGGCAAAUGGAAUAAAGGACCAAAGCAAGACUGAAGUAUAAAAUCUAAUUCCUCUGUCCCAUCAAAAACCUUCUUGAUAAAGGAUAGAAUAUCCGGUCUAGAGUAUACGUUCAGCCUUCCCCUCGGAUAAUGAUCGGUGGCGAAGAGUCUAUUUGGAAGGUUUGAAUCCCACUGAGAAGAUGGUUCCUGAGAUGUCGACCCUGUUCAUUGGCAAGAAACCAGUUCAAGAGAUAACGAUUAGAUUAACGAGUAUUUGUAUAAACGUCUGUGCUUAGCUACAAACAAUUGGGAAACAUUUUUCGAUUCAAAAAAAAAUUGCAGAAACAUUCAGCGAGAAGAGGAUUUCUUCUUCUGAGUUAAUUGGACCAAAAUAAGAUGAUUGGAAACGAUUUGUACCUUCCAUUGAGUAUUCCGAUCAGCGAGAAUCAACUGAAAUGCUAAUGAAUCUGGCUUACGAGAACAAUAAAUCGAAAUCGAAUUCGAUUAUUGCAGAGAUUUGGGGGAAAUUACUAUUUGGUUUUUAUUCAGCGAGUAUAGACUCGCCUGAGUGGCGGAUUGAUGGACAGCGACGGAGGAGUCGCCGGAUUCGGAGCAGUCGACGGAUUGGGAGCAGUGGCGAUGUGGAGAUACAGUAAAUUAGGGUUUUUACUGGGUAAGCGGUUUUUUACGAUCGUGUUGGUAAAUGAAGAUUUAACCCAGACAGUAACUGAUAAUACGUGGUUCAACCGGAACCGGACUAGAGAAAACCGGCUAAAUUUGUUAUGUUUUAUUAAACCAACGAUUUCAGGGUAAAGGGGUAAUUAUACUGAGUUAAAGUGACUAAUGGUUUUAAAGUGUUCUAUUGUGUCCAAAGUUUUGAAAUAGUGCAUCUACGUGUAAUAUUCUCUAUUUUAAUUUGGGUCUAGCGUUACAUUGCAUAAAGUUACAAACAAUAAUUUUGCAUUACCAAAUAACUUAUUUUACAUUUUCAAAAAAUCUAAUCUUAUUAUCUAAAGAAAUCAUAAUCAUUAUUACAAAUAUUACACAGCAAUUCUGCAAAUAUCCAAAUUAUUUACCAAAACCAAACAAAACUUUCUAAUCAUUCACCAAAACCAAAUUUGAAAUUU
rnacentral:sRNA from 1 species